rfam:Oryza glaberrima chromosome 10 Oglab10_0063_2, whole genome shotgun sequence.
UUUAAGCAUAGCCAUGAGUUUCAUAUCCAAAUUUAAUCAUCCGUCUUAUUUGAAUUUUUUUAUGAUUAGUAUUUUAUUGCUAUUAAAUGAUAAAACAUAUAGUGUUUUAUGCGUGACUUAUAUUUUUUCUAUUUUUUUAAAAAAAUUUAAAUCAGACGGACGAUUAAAGUUAGACACGAAAACUCAUAUUUACGUUUAAA